rnacentral:rRNA from 1 species
UACAGGGGGGGCAAGCGUUGUUCGGAAUUACUGGGCGUAAAGGGUCUGUAGGUGGCCAACUAAGUCAGACGUGAAAUCCCUCAGCUUAACUGGGGAACUGCGUCUGAUACUGGAUGGCUUGAGUGUGGGAGAGGAAUGCGGAAUUCCAGGUGUAGCGGUGAAAUGCGCAGAUAUCGGGAGGAACACCGGUGGCGAAGGCGGGUCUCUGGGCAGUAACUGACGCUGAGGAGCGAAAGCGUGGGGAGCGAACAGG